ACCGGGCCCGAUCUCCAACCCUCUGUCUAUCUAAACUCUUGUUGCUUUGGCGGGCCGUUGGGUCUGACCCGCCGCUGGCUUCGGCUGGCGAGCGUCCGCCAGAGUCAUUUAAAAAACCCUUUAUCCAUGACAUCUGAGUACAUUUAUAAAUUAUCAAAACUUUCAACAACGGAUCUCUUGGUUCUGGCAUCGAUGAAGAACGCAGCGAAAUGCGAUAGGUAAUGUGAAUUGCAGAAUUCAGUGAAUCAUCGAAUCUUUGAACGCACAUUGCGCCCUUUGGUAUUCCGGAGGGCAUGCCUGUUCGAGCGUCAUUUCAACCCUCAAGCCCGGCUUGGUAUUGGGCGACCUCCCCAAUCGGAGGUGCUCGAAAAUCAAUGGCGGCGAACCCAAACCUUUGAGCGCAGUAAAAUAUUUCGUUCUGCAAGGGGAGGUGACGUCUGCCAACUACACUUCUAAGGUUGACCUCGGAUCAGGUAGGGAUACCCGCUGAACUUAAGCAUAUCAAUAAGCGGAGGAA
rnacentral:rRNA from 1 species